rnacentral:misc_RNA from 1 species
CAAUAAUCAAUUCAUGAUUUUGCAAUUAUGAACCACAUAAUUGUUAAAUGAGAGAAAGAGGGACUUCAAACAACUGCAAUUGCUUGAUUUAUUAGAAAAGGGAGGCAAGAAAUUGAACAUCAACGAACGUCUCCAAUUCUGAUUUGCAGGGCUAUGUGGCUAUCCCUUUCAAUUUGAUUUUGAUGGUGAACUAGGCAAGAGCCAAUUGAUACCUACCAAAAUAUCCUUUUGAGUCUCCAAUUUGUCUGGGUGAGUACAGAGAGCCGAAUCCAAUUUUCAAAUUACGGUGGUUCGGUUCGAUGUUUUAGUUUAGACUAAACAAUGGUCACCCCGACUGGUAAUGCUUGAAAUUAGGAAUUUGAAGAACUCUGCUAGACAUCUUUGGCUUUCAUUGUUUUUACAGUUCCAUGUUGCCAUAGAUUGACAUUGACUUGCAGACAUGUAAAAGAAAUAAAGAGAAGUAGAAGAAAUGCAUAAUUCAAACUAAGAUCGACUUUUAUUAAACACAGCUGCCAAAUGAACAUCUAGUUGAACAAUAUUUUUAAUCCUCCCUUCAUUGUUGAGAAGACCAGUCUCAGACAGGAUUCAUAAAUGAGAACGAAAACAAGAUUUCUUAACAUCCAAAUCAUAUUUAAACUGGGCAAACAAUUGACUCGAGCCGCAACAAUGAAAUCUGAAGGGGAAAACAAAAUUAACUUGAGAGUUUUAAGUCGACAGCCAUUCUUUACGAAUAUCAAAUGUGUAGUUGAUCUCCAAAUAGCACUUGUUGUCAUCAUCAACAAACUUACUUCUAGCUGAGUAUGAUCCUCUAGCAAACAUACCAGAUGGAGUAGUUUCCUCAGGCAUCUCAUGUGUGUAAGGUUCUGCCUGAGGACUGAAGGUUCCCAGCAUCUCCUUCGCACUAUCCACCUUCACACCAGUUUUCCAAACUGUGUUAGUGUACUUGAGACCAGAAACAAUGUUAUUCCCAACCAGAAAAGUAAACUGCAGGCUAUAGCGGCUGCCUUCUUUUAAGGUGAACCAUGUGCCUUUAAGAUUUCCAUCCUCAGGAAUAGAAAGAACAAUAUCAGAUCUACCAGGGGAUUUGAUUGCAAGGCUCAGGAUCUUAACUUCUGGGUCUAGAGUUUCUCCAACAGAAUUAAAAUCCACACUUCCAAGAAGCUGUUCCUUCCACCUCCUCAAGCUCUCAUCAUCCUUAUCUUUUUCAAGUUGUUCUUUGAGAGUAUAUUGAGGACCCAACUCAAUCUUCCUCUCUUCAUCCUCUUCUUCUUCUUCCUCGGUUGCACAAAUAGAGCUCUCACUUGCAUGUCUACUGAUUCCACCGCUUUUAGGUGCAUCAUGAUGAUGUUCUUCUUCUUCACCGGGAGAUGUUUUUCCUAUUGUUUUUGUCUCUGAAACCUCCUCGUUGCUUUGCUCAUCAAAACCCAUGAUUUUGAUACUUGAAGCCGCACCAAUCGCCAAAGACAUCAACAGCCCAUAAAAAUUAACAGAAACAAAAACAGCAGCACUGUAUCUCACUCACAAUAUGUGACAAUACAAGUGGGGAAAAAGAGAAAUAGAACUCAAAAGCAAAAGAAAACAAAGAGAAUCUAAAACCCCCCAAAACCAACAAUAUGAGAUAAAGCCCAAUAAUAUUAAAAGAGGAUAGAGGGAGUCAAAGAAUCUUAGAAAGUUGAAUAGAAGACAAAAACCAAGAAAACCCACAAAGGAUAACCAUUCAAACAAGAAAAGACAGUAAGAAAAAGGACAGAAACAAAGAUGGAAGAAGAGGGAGGGAGAGAAGAAACGGCUUAAUUGGCAUUGGAAAGUUCAAACAGAGAAAAAGGAAGAGGAAAUGGUCAUGUGGUGAUUCGAAUUACAUGUAUCGUCCACAAUGUAUGCGAGGAGAGAUGGGAUGAUCGUGAAGGCCACUCCCGCACUAGGAUCUCCAAAGACCACGAUUCGAGGAGGGUUUUUUCAAUUAGUGCACAUUUUCAUCAGAGACAGACACGUAUAACGAGAGAGAUUAUUAGACAGCCUAGUUUUGAGUGGCGGAUUUGGUACCCUUUGACCCUUUCUCAUGGUUGUUAUAAUUGGAAAAAAGAAAAAGCUGCGUAGGAUUCAUGUGGCUAUGAGCCUUCGU